rnacentral:rRNA from 1 species
GACAGAGGUGCCGAGCGUUAGGCGGAAUCACUGGGCUUAAAGCGUGUGUAGGCGGCGGCGUAAGUACCUUGUGAAAUCCCACGGCUCAACCGUGGAACUGCUCGGUAUACUGCGUCGCUUGAGCCAGCUAGGGGCGACCGGAACAAACGGUGGAGCGGUGAAAUGCGUAGAUAUCGUUUGGAACGCCGAUGGUGAGAACAGGUCGCCUGGGGGCUGUGCUGACGCUGAGACA